rnacentral:lncRNA from 1 species
GCUAGUAAAUUUAAGUUAGAAACUAAAAUGAAGAAUUAUAGAGAGAGAAAAAAUUGUAGAGAAAUGUGUGGAUAUUACGUGUGAGAAAAAUUAACCGUGAGAAAAAAUAAGAAUAAUAAUAAAAAAAUUCUACAGGAAAAAUAAAAAAAUCAUAGAAGAAGGAAGAAGAAGAUAAAAUUGCACUAUUAAAAUAAAAUUAUACUAUUUUAAAAAAAAUUUGCACUGUUUUAGAUAAAUGUUACACUCUUUGAGACAAAAAUUACACUUUUUGGAAUGAGAUUUACACUCUUUAGACGAAAACUAUACUAUUUGAGUGAAAUCUACACUAUUUCAUAUUCUCUUCUUCUUCCUCCUCCUUCCCCUCCGUUUUCUCGCCCUCCUCCUCCACCUUCGCCACC